rnacentral:rRNA from 1 species
AACGAACGCUGGCGGCAGGCCUAACACAUGCAAGUCGAGCGAGGACUUCGGUCCUAGCGGCGGACGGGUGAGUAACGCGUGGGAACGUGCCCUUUGCUACGGAAUGGCCCCGGGAAACUGGGAGUAAUACCGUAUGUGCCCUUUGGGGGAAAGAUUUAUCGGCAAAGGAUCGGCCCGCGUUGGAUUAGGUAGUUGGUGGGGUAAUGGCCUACCAAGCCGACGAUCCAUAGCUGGUUUUAGAGGAUGAUCAGCCACACUGGGACUGAGACACGGCCCAGACUCCUACGGGAGGCAGCAGUGGGGAAUCUUAGACAAUGGGCGCAAGCCUGAUCUAGCCAUGCCGCGUGAGCGAUGAAGGCCUUAGGGUUGUAAAGCUCUUUCACCGGAGAAGAUAAUGACGGUAUCCGGAGAAGAAGCCCCGGCUAACUUCGUGCCAGCAGCCGCCGUAACAC